GACGAACGCUGGCGGCGUGCUUAACACAUGCCAGUCGAACGGAAAGGCCCUGCUUUUGUGGGGUGCUCGAGUGGCGAACGGGUGAGUAACACGUGAGUAACCUGCCCUUGACUUUGGGAUAACUUCAGGAAACUGGGGCUAAUACCGGAUAGGAGCUCCUGCUGCAUGGUGGGGGUUGGAAAGUUUCGGCGGUUGGGGAUGGACUCGCGGCUUAUCAGCUUGUUGGUGGGGUAGUGGCUUACCAAGGCUUUGACGGGUAGCCGGCCUGAGAGGGUGACCGGCCACAAUGGGACUGAGAUACGGCCCAGACUCCUACGGGAGGCAGCAGUGGGGAAUAUUGCACAAUGGGCGGGAGCCUGAUGCAGCAACGCCGCGUGCGGGAUGACGGCCUUCGGGUUGUAAACCGCUUUCGCCUGUGACGAAGCGUGAGUGACGGUAAUGGGUAAAGAAGCACCGGCUAACUACGUG
rnacentral:rRNA from 1 species